ensembl:lncRNA
GGGCUGUGUCGGCGCAUGCGCAGUGCGUGCAGGAGGAGAGCCCUGUUUUGACUGUCACAGCGUUGAAGCGCGUAUACCGACUGGCGUGUGGGAUUUUGGAGCGAUUCUGCAUCAGGACGUAGAAUGUGAUUGGAAUGGGAGUCGGAGCGCCGAUUCCCUGAUAGGGUGGAUUAGAGUCUAUCAUUCUCUAAUGAUGCAGGGAGAGGACCGAAAGAAAAGGAAACCGAAUUUGAAUCCUAGAAGUGUGUCUGAGGAAUACUGUCUCAGAGAACGUCCGAAAGAAGACACGACAAGGAUGAAAAAUAAACUGUCCACUUCAGUUGUUAACAGUAAGAAAAGGCCCUGGUCAUGGGAUCAGUACUUGGAUGAGGAAAGAGCCAUCGCAGCCCCCCCGAGACUCUUUACUGAGGUUUUGCGCAGGACUAAAAAUAACAGCAGUCAGCAGUGGGAGCUGUGAGCUGCUUAUAUUGUGUGAAUAUUUAUACGG